AUUGAACGCUGGCGGCAGGCCUAACACAUGCCAGUCGAGCGGAGCGGCGGACGGGUGAGUAAUGCCUAGGCAUCUGCCUGGUAGUGGGGGAUAACGUCCGGAAACGGGCGCUAAUACCGCAUACUAUCAGAUGAGCCUCGUCCGGCUUAGCUAGUUGGUGGGGUAAAGGCCUACGAAGGCGACGAUCCGUAACUGGUCUGAGAGGAUGAUCAGUCACACUGGAACUGAGACACGGUCCAGACUCCUACGGUAGGAAGCAGUGGGGAAGAUUGGACAAUGGGCGAAAGCCUGAUCCAGCCAUGCCGCGUGUGUGAAGAAGGUCUUCGGAUUGUAAAGAACUUUAAGUUGGGAGGCGUUACCAACAGAAUAAGCACAGGCUAACUUCGUGCCAGCAGCCGCGGUAAUAC
rnacentral:rRNA from 1 species